rnacentral:rRNA from 1 species
GAUGAACGCUGGCGGCGUGCUUAACACAUGCAAGUCGAGCGAGAAAAGUUCUUCGGAGCUUUUCUAGCGGCGGACGGGUGAGUAACACGUGGGCAACCUGCCUCAUAGAGGGGAAUAUCCUUCCGAAAGGAAGAUUAAUACCGCAUAACAUUGUUGAAAGGCAUCUUUUAACAAUCAAAGGAGCAAUUCGCUAUGAGGUGGGCCCGCGGCGCAUUAGCUAGUUGGUGAGGUAACGGCUCACCAAGGCGACGAUGCGUAGCCGACCUGAGAGGGUGAUCGGCCACAUUGGAACUGAGACACGGUCCAGACUCCUACGGGAGGCAGCAGUGGGGAAUAUUGCACAAUGGGGGAAACCCUGAUGCAGCAACGCCGCGUGAGUGAUGAAGGUCUUCGGAUUGUAAAGCUCUGUCUUUAGGGACGAUAAUGACGGUACCUAAGGAGGAAGCCACGGCUAACUACGUGCCAGCCGCCGCGGUAAUAC